rnacentral:rRNA from 1 species
AGGGUGCGAGCGUUAAUCGGAAUUACUGGGCGUAAAGCGUGCGCAGGCGGUUCGUUGUGUCGGCGGGGAAAGCCCCGGGCUUAACCUGGGAAUGGCCGUUGAAACUGGCGAACUGGAGUGUGGCAGAGGGGGGUGGAAUUCCGCGUGUAGCAGUGAAAUGCGUAGAGAUGCGGAGGAACACCGAUGGCGAAGGCAGCCCCCUGGGCUAACACUGACGCUCAGGCACGAAAGCGUGGGGAGCAAACAGG